rnacentral:rRNA from 1 species
UAGGGAAUAUUAGUAAUCUGGGAAACCGGGAACUAGCAACGCCGCGUGUGCGAUGAAGGCCUUCGGGUUGUAAAGCACUUUUUAAGGGAAUGAGAAAGGACAGUACCCUUAGAAUAAGUCUCGGCUAACUACGUGCCAGCAGCCGCGGUAAGACGUAGGAGACGAGCGUUAUUCGGAUUUACUGGGCGUAAAGCGCGUGCAGGCGGUUUGGUAAGUUGGAUGUGAAAGCUCCCGGCUCAACUGGGAGAGGUCGUUCAAAACUGCCAGACUAGAGAAUAGGAGAGGGAGGUGGAAUUCCGGGUGUAGUGGUGAAAUGCGUAGAUAUCCGGAGGAACACCAGUGGCGAAGGCGACCUCCUGGCCUAUUUCUGACGCUCAGACGCGAAAGCUAGGGUAGCAAACG